AACUAUUAAUACAUAUGUGGCUCGGCUCACAUCAUAUUUCUGUCAGGUCAGCAGUCUGAAAUGUGAGUUCUUAGUGGGCUCUUGGCUGAAGAAUGACCAGAUACACCAAAAGCAAGUGAUUAUCUCAACUGCCAUAACUGUCAUGUCUGUGUGGAAGACUCUAACCCUAUGAUCCUACCUGAUGUGUAAUAAGGUUAAAGAAAAAUGAAUCCUAUACUUCAGAGACACAUAAUAAUCUGAUGCCUUGGAUUUGCUUCCAAUUACUCUAGAAGGCAAAGAGUUGAAUAAGGCAAGUAUAAAAUAAAACAAGAUAGACCACAAGCUGAUAACUAUGGAAGUGGGAAAUGAGUACCUGAAAGUCCAUUAUACUAUUCUGUCUACUUUUAUAUAUGUUUGAAAUUUUUUUAUAAUUAAAAAUCACAAUCAAAUUUCAGAGUUGAGAAGAACUAUAGAUUAUAUCCUCCAACUCAUUUUUUUAAAUGAAAAACUGAGACUUAAAGAGAUUAACUAUCCUUUUCCCCAAGAUAGUGUUAUUUUUAUGAAAUCAUGUUGCCUCUUUUUAACUAUUUCUUAAAUAUGUUAUGAUUGUUAAAUACUAUUUUUAAUUGUGUAAUACAUAAAGGUUACAUGUUGGAAGAAACAAAAAAAAAUUCACAAAUAUAUAAUUUAAUAAAUAUUAACUAAGCCCUUACUAUAUGUCAAGUACUAUGCUAGGCAUUCUUUUUUCUAAAAUAAACCUAUUAUAGUUAUCCAUAUGACUCUGAAUUAUGGAACUGUAUGAAG